CUGAGAGGAGCAGGAAGUGACGCAAACACCCUGUACUACCACCGCCGCCGCCGCCGCUGGUUUACCUCCCGGUUUCAGACACGCUGGUGGGGAAACACCUGAGAUUCCUGACCCAGACAGACACUUUUCCAACUAAUAACCGCUGACAUUCCUCUGCCUCGCUCCGCUGCACACACACACACACACACACACACACACAGUAACACGCAGGAUGAGGGGAGAGUAAAAGCGAAAUGCCACGGCAGAACGGGAAGCCGAGCGCCUGGCUGCCGUCUGUCCUCAGCACACAGCUGUGUCUCUGUGCUUUCACUUCUCCUGCGGCUCCUGCACUGAGCGGUGCGAGCCUCCACGCUUCUUUCUCCACCCUGCCUUCCAGUUCCUGCCUCCCUCCCUCCUCCUUCUCUCUCCUCCUCCUCCUCACUCUCUCUUUUUUUUCAAUCCCAACUCUAAAUCAGGGAAAGCCCUCCUUCCCUGCCUGAGCUCUGACUUCCCCUCCAGCUGAAUAGCUGUUCUAUUUAUACAAUAAAAAACAACAGGCAGCAGCAAAACAAAGCAGUACACAGGCUAAAGCUCCUGUAAGUCCCUCACACACACACACACACACACACACACACACACACACUGUCAACAUCAGAUUAGCCGCCAACCUCCUUGUGGCGUAGAAAAGCUACCGCGGCCUAUAAAUACUCCUGCGUCCCAUUGAUCCUGUCCUCGCAGGUCGAGCGGGCGACGCACAGAGUCCGACUAAUGAAGGUGCUCACGGGAGAAGGAGAAGUGAGGCAGGAAUGAUCUGUGGAGUCAGAAGAAGACGGAGACACGGAGACACGGAGACACAGAUCGCUGCUACACCCACACAUCAGCUGCUGUGAAACCACACAUAGAGACGAAAACAGCGUGGAUUCAAUCCAUGGUUUCAUCCUAAAACAACAACUAUUUAAACCAGGGGUGUCAAACAUACGGCCCGCGGGCCAAAAAUGGUCCGUUGGGAGGUAAAAUCGGGCCCGCUUGAUGAAUUUUGAAAGUGAAAAAAUGCGCAAACACUUCAUGUUAUAUUUCAUUAAAUGAGAAGAAACCCCUAGAACUGUUUUUUUUUUUUUACCCAAGAAACAGUUGCAAACCGGUACAAGGAUGGACGAGUAAUUCUUUCAGCCAGAUUCUAAUGAAUAAUCACAAAAGUCAAUCUACUGCAGGGCAACGUUAUAAAGGUCACAGAGGUCGUGGAUCAUUGUCGGAGAUUCCAACACAACAUGAGCCGGAAGUGAAAUCAUCAGCGCUCACUCGCUCGCUGAUGCACCGCCACGUCGUUCCUCUUUCUACUAAAUCAGACACACAGACACACACAUUUACAGUCAGAACAAACUAAUGCAACACCUGCGGCACAUACACACACAUACCAUUAGUCAUGACGUUCCCUUAAACACAUUCUGCAUGUUUCUCACACACUCCUGUGUCUGGAUCAAACCCUGGUCAGGACACGGGGCAGGAGAAGGUGAGGUGGAAACGAAAGCGUGAAGACGUGACAGGAUGUGAGAUUUGAAAGUGAAACUGAUUUUUUUUUCUUCUGUUUUGUUUUUUGGACGUAAAUGAGAAUACCCCAGAAUUCAACCCCCUGGAAUGUUCCCCCCAGGGCAACACAGGCUGAAGGAGGAGAACAGAGGAGUUUCACAAGAGAACGAAGUGUUUUCCAAAGGACAGGAUCCUCCUCCGCCUCCUCCGCCUCCUCUCCUUCACACCUUUAACUGUGGCUCCGUUCCAAACGUAUCCCACUCUUCCUCCUCUGCGGCUCUCACUCCCCUUUUUUUUUUUUAAUUUUCCAUGACUGGGAAGACACAACUGCGGCAAAGGCUGCUCACCGACAGCUUUCCCGUCUCGGAAAAGCAGAAAUAAAUAAAUAAAGAAAUCCAAGAAGCGGCUGUUGCUGCUGACCUGACAGAGUGAGAUUCUCCUCAUUAGAGGCCGAGAGCCUCUGUGUGACCCCCGAGGAGAGGCAUAUUAAUGAAAACAUAUUUGCCAAUAGGUGGCAGUAAUGCACAUUUAGAUAGAUACGUAGAUAGAUAAAUAAGAGAUGGAGAUCUUAACAUUAACAUUAGCUCAACAGCUUAACAUUUUGGUGAUUCUCAAGCGAUGGAUUGUGGUUCCAAAGGGGGUCAUGAAGCUAAAUUUAUGGGUCAAAUGAUUAGAUAAUACUGCUAGUUAAAGUCGAAAAUCGCCACUAGGGGAAAACAAUAUAAUGAUGUUUUUCAGUGGAGAAGUGAACGUAUAGUGUGGAUUCAUACAUUAGAGUUUGUCUGAAAACACUGGAGACUGGACUGGAUCAUUAAGGCAGUGUCUCUAAUGAGACCAUUUCUCUAACGCUCAACUGAGAGGUUUUUUUUUUGGGGUUUUUUAUUAAUGAGUUUGUAACAACUCAACAGUCGAUAACUGAGCUCAGAAACUUUUUAAGCCACGACUAACGAAAUAAACCUGCUUAUAUUUUUAAAAUAUUUUCUUGAAUAUGUUUCUUAGACACAACAUUUACUGCAGGGAGGAAGAAGUGUUGCCUUCGUUAUACUGUAUAUAUACAUAUAUACACAUACAUAAACAUUGAUAUAUGUGUGUAUAUGUAAACAUAUGUAUAGACAUACAAAUAUAUAUAGAUAUAUUUCAAUGUAGGUUCUUAUAUAUUUUUCAGUUCUAUCAGAGUUUGAAAUUAUUUGAUUUAACUUAGGUGAGUGACAUAAAUGUAAUAAAAACAGACAGUAGUAAACCCGUACGCCAUUGAGCAAGAACUGCAAUACUUUUCUGUGGAAUCUGGUGAUGACGUACGGAGAAGACUGACACGCACAGCGUUUUCGUACCCGAACAUAAAACAACAAUCACUUCUGUCGACAUCAGGUGAGAGAAAAACACCUCAGGAAUUCAUCUGCCAAAGAAGACGCUGCAGAUUCACUGCCGUUCCCGCCGACGACCUCCUGACCCCGCCUCCACAUACGUACACACACACAUCCACAUCCAGCCUGGUCCAUCAACGCACGACGUCAAUAUGUCCUGAAAAUACUGACCUGACCCUUUGACCCUGACCCCGUCUUUCGCCAUCGACCUGACAGAACCCUGUGGGUCGGAGCAGCUGAGGAGCCCACCUCCUCACCCUGACACACACUUCUGGGCCACAUUAACUCACACGCCACGGAGAUAACAAAUGAAACAUGACCGAUGGCAACCGGCCUGGACGGGCAGUGAGGAAACGAUCCAAACAAAGAGGGGAGUU